AUCCAGCUAGGAGACGAGUCCCAAAAAGGACGAAAUGCGCAUCAAGCUGGAU
rnacentral:hammerhead_ribozyme from 1 species